rfam:Triticum aestivum genome assembly, contig: Triticum_aestivum_CS42_TGACv1_scaffold_343071_4DL
AUAUCUUUCUCGGCCUUUUGGCUAAGAUCAAGUGUAGUAUCUGUUUUUAUCAGUUUAAUAUCUGAUAUGUGGGUCAUGUGCCCACAACGAUAUUAAAUUUAUUUUUUGAGGUGAGGGUUUAUCAGGGCCCUUGUGUGUCGUCCGGUCGUUGCACUGCUGCCCGGGCCUGGCGCGCCCCAA